CCUGUCACCAAUCCUGGUGUCCUGCAUUUUGGGUCCUCCACCACGAGUUCCUGACAGUUCCACAGUGGAAGUCGAAGGCGCUUGACAGUAUAGGGCUAACACCGUUCUUUUACACGCCAACACCGACACGCUAACAACGUUGUCCGUGAGAGAGUUCGUCGUGGGAGCCGUUCUUCGUGACUUACAGUUCUUCGUGAGAAACACACAUGGAUGACUUAUACAAGGAAAUUUCCCAUUACAUAUCGAAAGGGACUUAUGAUAGCCUCACUCUCAAUACCAAAAAUCCUGAAAGCAAGAAGGCUGCCAUUCGAAAGUUAUCAAAGACUUACACUGUUAAAAUAGAUGGGCACCUGUAUUACAACUCUCAGGGAAACCUGCAUUUGGUCGUGUUUCAAGCACAGGUUGGCGACAUUUUUAGGAGUUGUCACGACAAUCUUGGCAGUGGGGGUCAUGACGGAGAACAUUGGAGCAGGUUUUUGCAUCCUACUAUUGGAAAACUUUACGGAAGGAUGUAAAUAAAUGGGUAAGAUUUUUUGACCUCUUGAACUAUGUGUUCCUACAAAUGAUAAUUUGAAGAUUCUGACUGUGACUGCCCCUUAAACCUGAUAAGGUAUUUGUUAGUUAAAAUUAAUUUAAUACCCUCCUUCAAAGGUUGAUGAGUGUCAGCAUCAUGAGACAGUAAAAACUGUUGCUCCUCUUCUUCAUUUCAUUGAAGUUCAGGAGGCUUGGAGUGUCCUUGGGAUAGAUUUGAUUGGUCCCCUUCCUACCACCGCAAAGGGCAAAAGGUCAACCGUGGUGUUUUUGGGUGUGAAACAUUGUAUUACAUCCGUCUACCAUCCCCAGGCCAAUGGACUGGAUGAGCGCACCAAUCGAAAUAUAAAGACUGCGCUUGCCAAAUACUGUGGGGAGGAUAAAAAUGACUGGGACCUCUAUCUAAGGGGAAUAGUGGCAGGCAUCAACACAUCUAAACAAGUAACAUUGUGUAAAAAUGUGUGAGUGAACCAUGUUCAGCAAGACAGAAAAAGUGUAUAAUGAUACGUACGUAUGAAAAUGAUUUUUUUUAAACAGAGAUCAACCAGGUUCACACCCUAUUGUGCCCUGUUUGGAAGACACCCUCACACAGCAGGUGUGAUAAAUAUCACACAAGACACGGGGAGUGACAAAGAUGUUGUUGUGGUAGAGGAGACUGAAGAGCACUUGGAGGCCAAGAUUGCAGAAGUUGCUGAUUUGCAUGCAAAGAUUUACCAGAACAUAAAAAAGGCACAGAAGACACAAAAGAAGGAAUAUGAGACGAGGAAAAAACGGAAUAUGUAAUCGUUCAUAUUCAAAGUUGGCGAUGAGGUGCUGAAAGCCAAUAAAACAAAGGAAGGACGAAAAGGAGGACGUCUGGAAGCAAACUGCUCUGGACCGUAUGUGAUCGCCUCCAUUUCAGAAAAGGGCGUGGCGACCCUGUCAAAUAGAACAGGUCUAGGUUCUUCAAAAAGGCUAACAUAGGCAGCCCUUUAAAAAAAAACAAUUAAAUGAAUUUUUCUAAAAAGUUCCCCAACCCAGGAUUCCAACUCCACAACAACAGAAGCCUUUUCUAAAGUUCUUCUUGCAGUUGUUGACAUCACCAGUCACUUCUAGGUGAUUGAUGUUGGGGCAGGACAAGUGACGUUGGGGCCGACCCUGCAACUCCACGUUUGGUCAGACGCUCCACAGUGGAUCAUUCAAUCUUCUGUCUCCAAUGAGUCUCUGUGUCUUUGUGGCAGAAAAAAGAUUAGAUGCAGUCAUUCUCUGGGUGCCUCCUUCCCACAGAGAGGUGCAUCUUUAACUACAACCUCUCCCCAGCCCGGCUGGUUUAGAAGAACUUUGAUGCCUUCUGUGCAGAGGUGUCAUUAUCAAUGCCUGGAUGAAGUCCACCCAGACGUUGUUGAGCAGAGUGUGAGGGCAGCAUGUGCUCCUCACAGCUUCAUCAGGUCUUCAGCACCACAGGAACCUGCAGUGACUGAGGCUGUUGGCCUCAAACCGGUUUGUAGCUCUCCGGCUGAGAGACUCCUUCAUGAUCCACUUUCCUGCAGAGGGAGCAGAUCCAUGGCAGAAUCAUGUUUCUGUCCACCAAGCACUGACCCACAACACCUCUUUUCAGAACCGCCCCUAAAACCUUUAACACUUGUGCUAUCCUAUGACCCCACCCUUACAUUGAUGUAUUCUCCCUACCAUGACAAAGGUGGAUAAAGG